AGUGGCGGACGGGUGAGUAAUAUAUCGGAACGUGCCCAGUAGCGGGGGAUAACUACUCGAAAGAGUGGCUAAUACCGCAUACGCCCUACGGGGGAAAGGGGGGGAUCGCAAGACCUCUCACUAUUGGAGCGGCCGAUAUCGGAUUAGCUAGUUGGUGGGGUAAAGGCUCACCAAGGCAACGAUCCGUAGCUGGUUUGAGAGGACGACCAGCCACACUGGGACUGAGACACGGCCCAGACUCCUACGGGAGGCAGCAGUGGGGAAUUUUGGACAAUGGGGGAAACCCUGAUCCAGCCAUCCCGCGUGUAUGAUGAAGGCCUUCGGGUUGUAAAGUACUUUUGGCAGAGAAGAAAAAGGUAUCCCCUAAUACGGGAUACUGCUGACGGUAUCUGCAGAAUAAGCACCGGCUAACUACGUGCCAGCAGCCGCGGUAAUACGUAGGGUGCAAGCGUUAAUCGGAAUUACUGGGCGUAAAGCGUGUGUAGGCGGUUCGGAUAGAAAGAUGUGAAAUCCCAGGGCUCACCCUUGGAACUGCAUUUUUAACUGCCGAGCUAGAGUAUGUCAGA
rnacentral:rRNA from 1 species